CCUACGGGUGGCAGCAGUGGGGAAUAUUGGACAAUGGGGGAAACCCUGAUCCAGCGACGCCGCGUGUGUGAAGAAGGCCUGCGGGUUGUAAAGCACUUUCGGUGGGAACGAAAUGUGCCGGGCUAAUACCCCGGCAAGCUGACGUUACUCAUUAAAGAAGCACCGGCUAACUCUGUGCCAGCAGCCGCGGUAAUACAGAGGGUGCAAGCGUUAAUCGGAAUUACUGGGCGUAAAGCGCACGUAGGUGGCGACGUAAGUCGGGUGUGAAAUCCCCGGGCUCAACCUGGGAACCGCAUUCGAGACUGCAUUGCUGGAGUACGGAAGAGGAAGGCGGAAUUCCCGGUGUAGCGGUGAAAUGCGUAGAUAUCGGGAGGAACAUCAGUGGCGAAGGCGGCCUUCUGGUCCAGUACUGACACUCAAGUGCGAAAGCGUGGGGAGCAAACAGGAUUAGAUACCCCAGUAGUC
rnacentral:rRNA from 1 species